rnacentral:rRNA from 1 species
UAAUAUUUAUUAUAUAUAAAUUUAAAGAAUUUGGCGGUAAAAUUAUUUUUAGGGGAGUUUGUCUUUUUAUCGAUAUUCCACGUUUUACCUUACUUUAAUUAAAUAAUUUGUACAUUUCCGUUAUUAGUUUAUUUUUAAAUAAUUUAAUUAACAUUUUUAUUUUUUAAUAAUUAAAAUCAGGUAAAUAAGCAGUUAUAUAUUAAAGUUUAAGAUGAGCUACAAUUGUUAGUAAUAAUUGGAUUAUUUUUUGAAAUAUUUUUAUUAAAUUGAACCUAAUAGUAAUAUAAUAUUAGUAUAAUUAUAUGAAUAUUUAAAAAUUUUAUGC